rnacentral:rRNA from 1 species
UGAUGCAGCAACGCCGCGUGAGGGACGACGGCCUUCGGGUUGUAAACCUCUUUUAGCAGGGAAGAAGCGAAAGUGACGGUACCUGCAGAAAAAGCGCCGGCUAACUACGUGCCAGCAGCCGCGGUAAUACGUAGGGCGCAAGCGUUAUCCGGAAUUAUUGGGCGUAAAGAGCUCGUAGGCGGUUUGUCGCGUCUGCUGUGAAAUCCGGAGGCUCAACCUCCGGCCUGCAGUGGGUACGGGCAGACUAGAGUGCGGUAGGGGAGAUUGGAAUUCCUGGUGUAGCGGUGGAAUGCGCAGAUAUCAGGAGGAACACCGAUGGCGAAGGCAGAUCUCUGGGCCGUAACUGACGCUGAGGAGCGAAAGGGUGGGGAGCAAACAGGCUUAGAUACCCUGGUAGUCCACCCCGUAAACGUUGGGAACUAGUUGUGGGGUCCAUUCCACGGAUUCCGUGACGCAGCUAACGCAUUAAGUUCCCCGCCUGGGGAGUACGGCCGCAAGGCUAAAACUCAAAGGAAUUGACGGGGACCCGCACAAGCGGCGGAGCAUGCGGAUUAAUUCGAUGCAACGCGAAGAACCUUACCAAGGCUUGACAUAUACGAGAACGGGCCAGAAAUGGUCAACUCUUUGGACACUCGUAAACAGGUGGUGCAUGGUUGUCGUCAGCUCGUGUCGUGAGAUGUUGGGUUAAGUCCCGCAACGAGCGCAACCCUCGUUCUAUGUUGCCAGCACGUAAUGGUGGGAACUCAUGGGAUACUGCCGGGGUCAACUCGGAGGAAGGUGGGGAUGACGUCAAAUCAUCAUGCCCCUUAUGUCUUGGGCUUCACGCAUGCUACAAUGGCCGGUACAAAGGGCUGCAAUACCGCGAGGUGGAGCGAAUCCCAAAAAGCCGGUCCCAGUUCGGAUUGAGGUCUGCAACUCGACCUCAUGAAGUCGGAGUCGCUAGUAAUCGCAGAUCAGCAACGCUGCGGUGAAUACGUUCCCGGGUCUUGUACACACCGCCCGUCAAGUCAUGAAAGUCGGUAACACCUGAAGCCGGUGGCCUAACCCUUGUGGAGGGAGCC